UGGUCAGACAGGAACCUCCCCCUGGGUAAGUGAAUCCAAUCUCCCCCAGUACUUACCCAGGUACAGAGCUCUGAUUCUCUGUACUUCCUGCUCCUGGGCUGUUCUCUUUCCCAUGGUCAGAUGAGGGUGCUGAUUCUCUGUCACCAAUCAGGGGCUGCUACUCUUGGGCAGUGACACACUCAGUCUCGACCGCACUGCUUACAUUCAAAGCUACAGGACAGAUCAUGCACAUCCUGCUGGUCCUUCUCUGCGUAUUAAUCGCCAACUCUUUCACGCAGAAGUUGCAGCCGUCUUUUUACGAUGGCACCAGAAUUGCGCAGUGACUUCCCAAUCUUCUUCGCUCUCUGAUUAAUCCUCACAGUCCUAUUGGUUCAUGCGUCAGAUAACUCCUCCUCUUGCUCAACAUGUCGGGCUGAGUUAGAAAAGUAUGUGACCCCCAACACUUGGAGAUUCCACUAUAAAAUCAGAAGCAAAAAAUAUUUGUCCCCUCAGUUUUAUUGUAGUUAAAUAUCAGUGGAAUAUUGGGAGUAGAUCCUACUAGACAUGACUGCAGGCGACAUUGUUCAUGAUUAUAAAGGCAAAGUAAACUUUGUUUUUUUUGUUUAAAUCUGAGCCUAUUCUGAGCAACUCCCUCUAUUGGCUGAAGGAAAGCAGUGCCCUGCAGUACUCACUAGUAUCCAGUGAUUAUGGACCCUGCUCAGUCACUGAUUGGUCAGUACAGCUGGUGCUCACUAAUGGGGUUCAGCCAAUGAUAGAAGAGAUGUUGUGGCUAUGUGUCAAAAGAUGUAGGUCCGAAACACCCCAAAUCUUCCUCCACUGGCCACAAAUACCUGCACCAGUCAGGAGAGUCUCAUCUUUCCUUUCAGGCAAUUACUAGGGAGAAUUCCAAAUAUUUUGACCCCACUUGGAUUCUGUUCCAACUUCUUGUCCCUGAAUAAGACCACGUGGGCUGCUUUCCCUUCUCUGUCGCCCCAGUUCCUAUAAGGUGAACACAGAAGAGUUUAUGAACCCGGAUAUUGGAGUUCUGCCCCGAGAAGCUGUUUGAAGAUGUUCUGAAAGUCAUCACCUCGUCUGACGACUGUGAGUAUCCAGGGGUGAAUAAUAGAGGUACAGGGGUGAAUAAUAGAGGUACAGGGGUGAAUGAUAGAGGUACAGGGGUGAAUAAUAGAGGUACAGGGGUGAAUAAUAGAGGUACAGGGGUGAAUAAUAAAGGUACAGGGAUGAAUAAUAGAGGUACAGGGGUGAAUAAUAGAAGUACAGGGGUGAAUAAUAGAGGUACAGGGGUGAAUAAUAGAGGUACAGGGGUGAAUGAUAGAAGUACAGGGGUGAAUGAUAGAGGUACAGGGGUGAAUAAUAGAGGUACAGGGGUGAAUAAUAAAGGUACAGGGAUGAAUAAUAGAGGUACAGGGGUGAAUAAUAGAGGUACAGGGGUGAAUAAUAGAAGUACAGGGGUGAAUAAUAGAGGUACAGGGGUGAAUAAUAGAAGUACAGGGGUGAAUAAUAGAGGUACAGGGGUGAAUAAUAGAAGUACAGGGGUGAAUAAUAGAGGUACAGGGGUGAAUAAUAGAGGUACAGGGGUGCACCCACUCAGGGACAGUAGGGCCCCGGCUCCAUUGCCCUCCCGGAUUGUGUUUCAUCUCACUCCACCCCACAGAGUCACAAGCUGAUUGGCUGCUUGAGGACAAAACAACACAUUUCAUUUUCUCUAUUAGAUGAAGUAGACAACAGAAGAGCUUGCACACCCCAAGUAAACAUUUUGGUUGAAGGGGCCCCUCCGGUACCUUAUAAAAUAAUUGGAGAAGGAUAGGCCCUUCAAGUGCAUGAGGGAUUAUAAAAAAAAAAAAAAAAAACAUUCC